rnacentral:rRNA from 1 species
AGCGCAUAUGGUGGAUGCCUUGGCAGUAAGAGGCGAUGAAGGACGUGGAAGUCUGCGAAAAGCUUCGGGGAGUUGACAAACAAACUUUGAUCCGGAGAUGUCCGAAUGGGGGAACCCGGCUAGAACUAUCUAGUCAUGUCUAUCUGAAUACAUAGGAUAGAUAAGCGAACCUGGAGAACUGAAACAUCUAAGUAACCAGAGGAAAAGAAAUCAAAUGAGAUUCCCUUAGUAGUGGCGAACGAAAGGGGAACAGUCCUGUUCACAUACGAUUAAUAUUAUAUAGAAGAAAGUGUUGGAAAAUACUUCCAUAGAGGGUGAUAGUCCCGUAUUCGAAAUAUAUUAUUAAUCAGUGACGAUGAGUAGGUCGGGACACGUGUUAUCUUGACUGAAUAUGGGGGGCCCAUCCUCCAAGACUAAAUACUCCUUACUGACCGAUAGUGAACCAGUACCGUGAGGGAAAGGUGAAAAGAACCCCGUUGAGGGGAGUGAAAUAGAUCCUGAAACCGUAUGCGUACAAGCAGUAGGAGCUUUAUCUUUGAUAGAGUGACUGCGUACCUUUUGUAUAAUGGGUCAGCGACUUACUUUUAGCAGCAAGCUUAACCAACUAGGGGAGGCGUAGGGAAACCGAGUCUGAAUAGGGCGUCUUAGUUGCUAGGAGUAGACCCGAAACCGAGCGAUCUAGCCAUGGCCAGGGUGAAGGUUAGGUAACACUGACUGGAGGCCCGAACCCACUGAUGUUGAAAAAUCACGGGAUGAGCUGUGGCUAGGAGUGAAAGGCUAAUCAAGCUCGGAGAUAGCUGGUUCUCUUCGAAAGCUAUUUAGGUAGCGCCUCGUGUAUAUCGUUUGGGGGUAGAGCACUGUUUCGGCUAGGGGGCUGUCAUGGCUUACCAAACCGAUGCAAACUCCGAAUACCAAACAGAUCAAUCACGGGAGACACACUGCGGGUGCUAACGUCCGUAGUGGAGAGGGAAACAACCCAGACCGCCAGCUAAGGUCCCUAAAAAUAGUUAAGUGGGAAACGUAGUGGGAAGGCAUAAACAGCCAGGAGGUUGGCUUAGAAGCAGCCAUCCUUUAAAGAAAGCGUAAUAGCUCACUGGUCGAGUCGUCCUGCGCGGAAGAUUUAACGGGGCUAAACUAUUUACCGAAGCUGCGGGUGCAUGAAAAAUUUAUUUUUUAUGCGCGGUAGAAGAGCGUUCUGUAGGCCGUUGAAGGUGUGUUGAGAAGCAUGCUGGAGGUAUCAGAAGUGCGAAUGCUGACAUGAGUAACGAUAAUGAUGGUGAGAAACCAUCACGCCGAAAGUCUAAGGUUUCCUGCUCGACGUUAAUCGGAGCAGGGUGAGUCGGCCCCUAAGGUGAGGCGGAAACGCGUAAUCGAUGGGAAACAGGUUAAUAUUCCUGUACUUUGUAUAAUUUCGAUGUGGAGACGGAGAAGGCUAGGCCAGCCAGGUAAUGGUUGUCUUGGUUUAAGCGUGUAGGAAGAGUAUUUAGGCAAAUCCGGAUACUCGUUAAUUCUGAGGCGUGAUGACGAAGUUCAUUUUUUUGAACUGAAGUGGUUGAUGCCAUGCUUCCAGGAAAAUCCACUAAGGCUAGGUUAUACAAAACCGUACCCCAAACCGACACAGGUAGACAAAUAGAGAAUAUUAAGGCGCUUGAGAGAACUUGGGUGAAGGAACUAGGCAAAAUGGUACCGUAACUUCGGGAGAAGGUACGCCUUCUUUGGUGAUAGAUCUUGCAUCUUGAGCUGAUGAAGGCCUCAGAAACUAGGUGGCUGCGACUGUUUAUUAAAAACACAGCACUCUGCUAACUCGCAAGAGGAUGUAUAGGGUGUGACGCCUGCCCGGUGCCGGAAGGUUAAUUGAUGGGGUUAGCGUAAGCGAAGCUCCGGAUCGAAGCCCCGGUAAACGGCGGCCGUAACUAUAACGGUCCUAAGGUAGCGAAAUUCCUUGUCGGGUAAGUUCCGACCUGCACGAAUGGCGUAACGAUGGCCACGCUGUCUCCACCCAAGACUCAGUGAAAUUGAAAUCGCUGUGAAGAUGCAGUGUACCUGCGGCUAGACGGAAAGACCCCGUGCACCUUUACUACAACUUUGCACUGGACUUUGAAUAUAUCUGUGUAGGAUAGGUGGGAGACUUUGAAGCUGGAACGCUAGUUCUGGUGGAGUCACCCUUGAAAUACCACCCUGAUGUAUUUGAGGUUCUAACCUGAUCCCGUGAAUCCGGGAUAGGGACAGUGUAUGGUGGGUAGUUUGGCUGGGGCGGUCUCCUCCUAAAGAGUAACGGAGGAGCACAAAGGUACCCUCAGUGCGGUCGGAAAUCGCACAUUGAGUGUAAAGGCAACAAGGGUGCUUAACUGCGAGACUGACAGGUCAAGCAGAUGCGAAAGCAGGUCUUAGUGAUCCGGUGGUUCUACAUGGAAGGGCCAUCGCUCAACGAAUAAAAGGUACGCCGGGGAUAACAGGCUGAUACCGCCCAAGAGUUCAUAUCGACGGCGGUGUUUGGCACCUCGAUGUCGGCUCAUCACAUCCUGGGGCUGAAGCAUGUCCCAAGGGUAUGGCUGUUCGCCAUUUAAAGUGGUACGCGAGCUGGGUUUAGAACGUCGUGAGACAGUUCGGUCCCUAUCUGCCGUAGGCGUAGGAAAUUUGAGAGGAGCUGCUCCUAGUACGAGAGGACCGGAGUGGACGUAUCUCUGGUGUUCCGGUUGUCACACCAGUGGCAUUGCCGGGUAGCUAAAUACGGAAGGGAUAACCGCUGAAAGCAUCUAAGCGGGAAGCCCACCUCAAGAUUAGAUUUCCCUGAAGGUUUGU